rnacentral:rRNA from 1 species
GUUAUAUGGUCAAGCGAAUAAGCGCACACGGUGGAUGCCUAGGCGGUCAGAGGCGAUGAAGGACGUGGUAGCCUGCGAAAAGUGUCGGGGAGCUGGCAACAAGCUUUGAUCCGGCAAUAUCCGAAUGGGGAAACCCACUGCUUCGGCAGUAUCCUGCAGUGAAUUCAUAGCUGCUGGAAGCGAACCCGGUGAACUGAAAUAUCUAAGUAACCGGAGGAAAAGAAAUCAACCGAGAUUCCCUAAGUAGUGACGAGCGAACGGGGAACAGCCCUUAAGCUGGAAUGGCUUUAGAAAAACAAUCUGGAAAGAUUGGCCAUAGAAGGUGAUAGCCCUGUAUUUAAAAGGGCCACUCCAGUGAAGACGAGUAGGGCGGGGCACGUGAAACCCUGUCUGAAUAUGGGGGGACCAUCCUCCAAGGCUAAAUACUCCUGACCGACCGAUAGUGAACCAGUACCGUGAGGGAAAGGCGAAAAGAACCCCGGAGAGGGGAGUGAAAUAG